CAAUAGCGUAUAUUAAAGUUGUUGCAGUUAAAAAGCUCGUAGUUGGACCUUGGACCUGGACAGGCGGUCCGCCUCACGGCGUGUACUGUCUUGCUGGGUCUUUCCUCUUGGUGAUCUGUUGUUUCGGCAGCAGGGAACCAGGACUUUUACUUUGAAAAAAUUAGAGUGUUCAAAGCAGGCUCGACGCCGGAAUAUAUUAGCAUGGAAUAAUAAAAUAGGACGUGCGGUUCUAUUUUGUUGGUUUUUGGAAUCGCCGUAAUGAUUAAUAGGGACAGUCGGGGGCAUUAGUACUCACAUGCUAGAGGUGAAAUUCUUGGAUUUUGUGAAGACUAACUUCUGCGAAAGCGUUUGCCAAGGAUGUUUUCAUUAA
rnacentral:rRNA from 1 species